rnacentral:rRNA from 1 species
UACGAAGGGGGCUAGUGUUGCUCGGAAUCACUGGGCGUAAAGGGUGCGUAGGCGGGUCUUUUAAGUCAGGGGUGAAAUCCUGGAGCUCAACUCCAGAACUGCCUUUGAUACUGAAGAUCUUGAGUUUCGGGAGAGGUGAGUGGAACUGCGAGUGUAGAGGUGAAAUUCGUAGAUAUUCGCAAGAACACCAGUGGCGAAGGCGGCUCACUGGCCCGAUACUGACGCUG